AAGUCGGCCACACAAUUGUUUUAUUCGCCAAAUCUCUCUACUUACCAUUUGUAACUGCUAGUCUGUGGUAAUAAUUUUAUAUAAGGUGUUAAAUUUCUUAAAAGGUUGUUGCGUGCUCUUUCUUCAAGAUAGGAUAUUGAACACUUAACGCGAAAAUAGAAAUCAAAACAGCUCAAGUUGUGAUAGUGGUGUAGAUUCUAUUGCUGGUCGAAAAGUUAACAAUUGGGAAGAUAGUACAAAUAAUGUAAACGGAGUACAACCUGACAUGAAAUCUUUAGUUAACACAGAAGAUGGGAGUGACUUGAGCCAAUUAUCCCCAGUGUUAACUUGCAUCCGCACUUUGAACGGAUCUGGAUUUAUACUAGAAGAGGAACGAACUAAAUGUGUAAAAAGUUUAUGCCUAAGUAAAUUGAAGAAUGAAGUGGAAAUAUCCAGAAAGGAUGGAUUUUUGUUUGCAGUUUCUCUACGUGAUGGAGCUUGCCUUUUCACCUCUGCAGCCAUCACUGAUCAUUUGGGCUAUCCAAAAGAUAUGCUUAUGGGACAGAGUUUCAUAAAUUUUAUGUACGAUAAAGACCACUUGACUUUUGCUAAUCAUCUAACACAAGGACUGAAUGUAUGUUUUACUCAAGGGAAACGAGAUGAUUCUCAUCUUGUUUUGAAUACCUUUUUCUGUCGAAUGAGAGUAUACCAAGGAUUGAAGUUCGGAUAUUCUGUUGGUUCCAAGCCCCAAUAUAAACCAUUCAAAAUUAUUUUACACAUUAAUGAAUUGGUCUUAGAUGAUAUUUGUGUUGAGAAACCAUUAGCUACAUUAUGCGUGAAGGCAACAGCAACUCAAGUUUCAUCUGCUUAUUCUGUUCCCAAAGAAAUUCCUGCAAUGACUUCAUUUUCUACUCGUCAUACAGCAUCUUGUCAUUUCAGCCAUGUUGAUGCUAGUGCAAUUCCUUACCUUGGAUUUCUUCCACAAGAUAUGGUUGGAUAUUCAGUAUUCGAUUUUUAUCAUAUUGAUGAUAUGCCUCAACUCAAAGAAAUAUAUGAAUUAGUCAUUAAAGAACAUGGAACGUCCUUUCGUAGCAAACCAUAUCGAUUCAAAGUUCAUAACGGAUGUUAUAUCAUGCUUGAAACAGAAUGGUCCUGCUUUAUUAAUCCAUGGUCACAUAAGUUAGAAUUUGUUGUUGGGCAACAUCGAGUUCUGAAGGGCCCAUCAGAUAUUAACAUUUUUACGCCUUGUGAAAUCUCAGAGACCAAUGCUUCUGAUGAAAUCAUCAAAGAAAGUCAAGCUAUACAGAAAGAAAUCAAAGUUAUACUGUCUCAGUCUUUGGAAAAUUUCCAAUUCAAGAAAAAUAAAAGGCUUUGUAACAAAAGGAAACGAGAUUUGGUUUCUUUUGUCUACAGCUGCAUUGAUAAAGCGAAUGUGAAUGGUGAUAAAUUUGAAGUUAUGGAAGAACGUGGAAGUCAUACAGAUCCUGAUAGUGUGGUUAUGGGAGAUAUUUCACCAUUUCGAGAAAUGAAUGACUCUAGUGUCUCUUCCCCACCAACUGUGCAACAAAUGCGAUAUCAAGAAAACAUUGAACGAUUUUUUGCUAGUCAACCUAAAACUUAUUCAGAUGGCUCUGAUGAUUUUAAAAAUGAUAAAAGCUCGAGUGUCGAAGAGUAUCAAGGUAGCAGUUCUGGCUCUGGAAAUGGUUCAGGAUCUGGAAACGUAUCAGGUAACGCUUCCAAAGAAAAUCAAUCUGCUUCACCAAAUUACGAUCGUAAAAUUCAGGAGUCUGGCAGCAAUUCUUCAAAAGGCAAUAUGUCCUCUUCUAUAACUGGAGACUCUGGUUAUGGUAAAAGCUGGGCAAAAGAAGGUACCAAUGAUCUAGAUUCAAGCCAGGCUGGUCCAUCGAAAUCCAAAUCAUCCAGAAUGAAAAAUUCUUGUGACAGUAAUGAGGACAAUAUUACUUUUGCAUCUUGUUUUGCACUAACGGAAGAAACACUAAGUGCUCAUAAUAAAAUAAGUCAAAAACAAAUCAAACAACAGCGCAAGAAUACUUCACACAAGACAGCUAUCCCUAUUAAAGAAAACAGAGUCCAGCAAAAUGAUGUCGGGCAUUCGAAAAAUAAAAAGAACAACCGAAAUCAUAAUUUGACUUCUCAAACAAACACUCCCACCACUGCUACUGUUCACACAGGAUAUAGGUGCGCUGCUCCAAAUCCUGACCGAAGCAAUCAAGAUAAUUUUUCAACUUCCAUAACCAAUGCAAACAAUUCAUGCCUUCUCUCGCACAAUACUUGUCCUGGAUCUGGUCCUAUACCAACACCUUUCUUUGUUCCUGUUGUUUACAUGGGAAGUGUACCUUGUUUCCCUCCUGCUGUGAAUCCAUUUUGGUCUUAUACACCUACACCUAAUUCAGAGAACCAAAAUCUCCCUUUCAAUCCAGUUAUUAAUUUCCCAUUGACGCCAGGCUUUCCAUUUCCAACAAUGCCAACCUAUGUUGAAAAUCUAAACUGUAAUCAUCAUACUGUUCGCUCAUCUGGAGUCACCACUACUUCUCAUCAUAGCACAACUACUACUACAGUUGCAUCUGAAACAUCCACUACCUUUAAAAAUACUGUUGCUGGUAAAGAGUAUUCAGCAUACAAAAAAGAGAAUACAAAAAUGGCCAAAGCUGCACAAAACCAUAAACAAGAUAGUGAAGGCAUUGAAAGUGAUAUGCAAAUUGAUGAAUCAUUGUCAUCUUUUACAAAAAGCUCAUCACAGCAGUCACAAGACAAAGAUGAGGAUAUGGAUUUUGACGUGAAAAAAUUUUACGCUGCAUCCAGUUCUGACAAAAUAGAACUGAAUUCUGAAAUAGCUUUCAGAUAUCAAAUGAAUACAUCAAAUGUAGAUGAAGUAUUAAAAAAAGAUAGGGAAAUGUUGAAAUCAAUGCAACAACCAGAUCUUGUAAAUAAACAACUACAAAUGCUUCAGAAAGAAAUUAAAGAUGAAAAUGAAAGUAAACCUAAAAUUGAAGAUGGCUUUUGUAUAACUGAAGACAUAAUGCUUGGUUUAACAACAGAAGAGGCUGUAACUGAAUUAGCUUCAUCUGUGAACCAAAAUGAAAAAACUUGUAAGUCAAAUUAUGGCAAUUUUCUAUGGAGAAUCCAAAUCUAAAAUAAAAAAUAGCGAUUCCUAUUUAAGGCUAUCCCACUCCCAUGGAGCAAUGCAAGGGGUCAAGUUUGGUGUCAUUAGAUAGCUCUUUGUGAUAUAUUAGGCACUUUUUAUUUUCUUCUCGACCUAACGUGUAUUUCUGUCUGUUCUGGGAUUUUUUGGACCACUCUGCCGAUUCUAUAGCCAAGGCGGGUUCGACGAGCUCCUUAGUGGAAUAAUUCUAACCACAA
rnacentral:misc_RNA from 1 species